UGUGACUGAGUGGCGGACGGGUGAGUAACGCGUGGGUAACCUGCCUCAUACAGGGGGAUAGCAGUUAGAAAUGACUGCUAAUACCGCAUAAGACCACGGAGCCGCAUGGCUCAGUGGGAAAAACUCCGGUGGUAUGAGAUGGACCCGCGUCUGAUUAGGUAGUUGGUGGGGUAACGGCCUACCAAGCCAACGAUCAGUAGCCGACCUGAGAGGGUGACCGGCCACAUUGGGACUGAGACACGGCCCAAACUCCUACGGGAGGCAGCAGUGGGGAAUAUUGCACAAUGGGGGAAACCCUGAUGCAGCGACGCCGCGUGAGCGAAGAAGUAUUUCGGUAUGUAAAGCUCUAUCAGCAGGGAAGAAAAUGACGGUACCUGACUAAGAAGCACCGGCUAAAUACGUGCCAGCAGCCGCGGUAAUACGUAUGGUGCAAGCGUUAUCCGGAUUUACUGGGUGUAAAGGGAGCGUAGACGGCUGUGUAAGUCUGAAGUGAAAGCCCGGGGCUCAACCCCGGGACUGCUUUGGAAACUAUGCAGCUAGAGUGUCGGAGAGGUAAGUGGAAUUCCCAGUGUAGCGGUGAAAUGCGUAGAUA
rnacentral:rRNA from 1 species